AUGAGUUUAACUCAUCAUCACGAAUGGAGCGUUCGAUGGGACAACAAGAAGCAAAUAAGGAAUGGUAAGGCAGAGGAAAAUGCAAAUGCAUCUGAAUUUCCUUCUAAUGUUGUGCAAGAUACAUGGAAUAAAAGAGUAGCAGCAAUGGAAAAACUAGCUCAAUGUAAGGAGGAACAAUUAGAGUUUAAGGCAAUGCAAUUCAUCUUGUCAAACACUUCUACGAGGAAUGAUAGUCAACGGGAUGUUCAUGAAAAAUAUUGUAAUAAGCUGAAAGAAAAAUAUGGACUUUAG